CCUACGGGAGGCAGCAGUGGGGAAUUUUGGACAAUGGGCGCAAGCCUGAUCCAGCAAUGCCGCGUGAGUGAAGAAGGCCUUCGGGUUGUAAAGCUCUUUUGUCAGGGAAGAAACGGUGGGGGCUAAUAUCCCUCGCUAAUGACGGUACCUGAAGAAUAAGCACCGGCUAACUACGUGCCAGCAGCCGCGGUAAUACGUAGGGUGCAAGCGUUAAUCGGAAUUACUGGGCGUAAAGCGUGCGCAGGCGGUUUUGUAAGUCUGUCGUGAAAGCCCCGGGCUCAACCUGGGAAUUGCGAUGGAGACUGCAAGGCUUGAAUCUGGCAGAGGGGGGUUAGAAUUCCACGUGUAGCAGUGAAAUGCGUAGAGAUGUGGAGGAACACCGAUGGCGAAGGCAGCCCCCUGGGUCAAGAUUGACGCUCAUGCACGAAAGCGUGGGGAGCAAACAGGAUUAGAUACCCUGGUAGUCCACGCCCUAAACGAUGUCUACUAGUUGUCGGGUUUUAAUUAACUUGGUAACGCAGCUAACGCGUGAAGUAGACCGCCUGGGGAGUACGGUCGCAGNUUAAAACUCAAGGAUUGNGNGNGNGNGNGCGAGNGACGAGAGGAGGAG
rnacentral:rRNA from 1 species